rnacentral:rRNA from 1 species
ACGUAGGGUGCAAGCGUUAAUCGGAAUUACUGGGCGUAAAGCGUGCGCAGGCGGUUAUAUAAGACAGAUGUGAAAUCCCCGGGCUCAACCUGGGAACUGCAUUUGUGACUGUAUAGCUAGAGUACGGCAGAGGGGGAUAGAAUUCCGGGUAGAGCAGCGAAAUGCGGAGAUAUGCGGAGCACUCCCGAUGGGGACGGCAAUAAUAUCGGCUUGUACGGACGCGCAUCCUCGACAGGGUAGGGAACCAAAAG